rnacentral:lncRNA from 1 species
CUGUCUGGAAGGCGGGAAGACAAAAUUUUUACUCUAUAGACGUCGGUUCUGGGGGCGCCGACGUCUAAGUUCUUGUAUUUUCACCAAAUUCGAGGGUUGUAGACGUCGUCUGUGGGGGGCACCGACGUGAACUUCCCUGAUAGGAACCCAAAACGUCAAUCUUUUCAGCUUCAUAGACGUCGGACCCCCUGAAACACCGACGUCUGUAGAUGGCGGUUUCGGGAACAACCGACGCCCCAUUUCAUUUUAAAUAUACCGCAGAAUCUUCUCACCAUUCAGUUUCUAUCUCGUCUUCAUCUCUUCUCCAUUUUCUAUGCUUCUCCUCUUCUUUUACUCGCAUGCGCACUUCUACUUUUUAUCUCUUGCGUCAUUGCAUUGUGGUUUCUCAUAACGUCAUUGUCUUCGUCCUCUCCUUUUUCUCUCUUGCAUCCCAGCUGCG